GAAUGUUGGUGUUUAAUGGAAAAUGUUGAUGUUUGAUGGACAGUGUUGUUGCUUGUUUGACAGUACUGGUGUACGAAGAAUGUUGUUGAUGAUGGUGUUUGUUGGAGAAUGUUGGUCUUUGGUGGGAAAUGUUGGUAUUUGUUAGAGAAUAUUGGUGCUUGUUUGAGAAUGCUGUUGCAUGGAAAAUAUUGGUGUUUAAUAAAGAAUAUUUGCGUUUGGUGGAGAAUAUUGUUUUUUGGUGGUAAUUGUUGGUGUUUGAUGGAGAAUGUUGGUGUUUGUUUGAGAAUACUGGUGUAUGGAAAAUGUUGGUGUUUCAUAGUGAAAGUUAGUGUUUCAUGAUGAAUGUUGAUGAUUGACAGGAGAUACUAAUGUGUCUAUGAAAAUAAUGCUGUUUGCUCAUAAAUGUCUUGUGUUGAACAAUAAAGAUCUAUUUGUUGCCACAGUUUGUUGGAGAAAAUUUGUAGUUAUUUGAAGAAUGUUGACACAUGAUAGUGAAUUUUGGUUCAUUUCAGAGAAUGUCUCUUCAGUGGUUUCACUCAGUUUGUUUAGAUUCUUCACACUUCUGAGAAAUGUCCUCUAUUCACUCCCCCUCCUCUACCGCAUCAGUAUCUCAUGUUACUGAACACAUUGUUUAUUUGCACGCAAAUGCGAGUCUACGUCAUUCUCUAACAAGCUGGUCACAUAGCUUAUUAGCAACAAGCUGUUGCAGGGCCAGAGCAGACAAAGAUGGAUGGAAGUCAGAUGGAGAGGAAGACAGAAGAACGAGGGAGUGUGAAGAGAAGGGGAGGAGGAAACGAAUGAAAAGCGAGAGACAAAAACAAGAGAGCAGUGGAGAUUCCUUGUAAAGAACCUUCUUCUUGGACUCUUGUGGCCAACUGGAAAGUCGUGUAUGGUGAUCUGCUGCUCUGUUUGUCUGCUGUGUCAUCUGCUCUGGUAAUGAGG